rnacentral:rRNA from 1 species
CGUAGGGGGCAAGCGUUGUCCGGAUUUAUUGGGCGUAAAGCGCGUGUAGGCGGCCAGGUAGGUCCGUUGUGAAAACUCGAGGCUCAACCUCGAGACGUCGACGGAAACCAUCUGGCUAGAGUCCGGAAGAGGAGAGUGGAAUUCCUGGUGUAGCGGUGAAAUGCGCAGAUAUCAGGAAGAACACCCGUGGCGAAGGCGGCUCUCUGGGACGGUACUGACGCUGAGACGCGAAAGCGUGGGGAGCGAACAGGAUUAGAUACCCUGGUAGUCCACGCCGUAAACGAUGGGAACUAGGUGUGGGCGGUGUCGACUCCGUCCGUGCCGAAGCUAACGCAUUAAGUUCCCCGCCUGGGGAGUACGGCCGCAAGGCUA